rnacentral:rRNA from 1 species
AACGAACGCUGGCGGCAUGCCUAACACAUGCAAGUCGAACGAGACCUUCGGGUCUAGUGGCGCACGGGUGCGUAACGCGUGGGAACCUGCCCUUAGGUUCGGAAUAACUCCCCGAAAGGGGUGCUAAUACCGGAUAAUGUCUUCGGACCAAAGAUUUAUCGCCUUUGGAUGGGCCCGCGUUGGAUUAGCUUGUUGGUAGGGUAAAAGCCUACCAAGGCGACGAUCCAUAGCUGGUCUGAGAGGAUGAUCAGCCACACUGGGACUGAGACACGGCCCAGACUCCUACGGGAGGCAGCAGUGGGGAAUAUUGGACAAUGGGCGGAAGCCUGAUCCAGCAAUGCCGCGUGAGUGAUGAAGGCCUUAGGGUUGUAAAGCUCUUUUACCCGGGAUGAUAAUGACAGUACCGGGAGAAUAAGCUCCGGCUAACUCCGUA